CCCUUAGAUGUUCUGGGCCGCACGCGCGCUACACUGAUUCAUGCAACAAGUUUUGUCCUUGGCUGAUAGGCCUGGGUAAUCUUUGAACGUGAAUCGUGAUGGGGAUAGAUGAUUGCAAUUAUUCAUCUUCAACGAGGAAUUCCUAGUAAACGCAAGUCAUCAACUUGCAUUGAUUACGUCCCUGCCCUUUGUACACACCGCCCGUCGCACCUACCGAUUGAAUGGUCCGGUGAAAUCUUCGGAUCUGAGAGAUGUCUGAUUAAUUUCGGACGCCUUUUGGAAAAGUUGCUUAAACCUUACCAUUUAGAGGAAGGUGAAGUCGUAACA
rnacentral:rRNA from 1 species